rnacentral:rRNA from 1 species
UACUAGAGUAGCACUCGCAUAUCAAUAAGCGGAGGAAAAGAAACUAACAAGGAUUCCCCUAGUAACGGCGAGUGAAGCGGGAAGAGCUCAAAUUUGAAAUCUUAAAGGGUUUCCCUUUACGAAUUGUAGUUUAAAGAAGUGUUUUCUGUUGAGGUUUUGGUAAAAGUUCUUUGGAAUAGGACAUCAUAGAGGGUGAGAAUCCCGUAUUUGACCUUUACUUUCAACUUUGUGAUACACUUUCAAAGAGUCGGAUUGUUUGGGAAUGCAGUCCAAAAUGGGUGGUAAAUUUCAUCUAAAGCUAAAUAUUGGCGAGAGACCGAUAGCGAACAAGUACCGUGAGGGAAAGAUGAAAAGAACUUUGAAAAGAGAGUUAAACAGUACGUGAAAUUGUCAAAAGGGAAGCGUUUGACACCAGUGUUGUUUUUCUGAAAAUCAAUUAAAGAACUGUUUAUGCUAAGUUGUUUAGACUUUAUCAGCUAACUGUUUAGUUUUGAGCUUUUCUUUAAUGCACUUUUCAGUUAACAAGUCAACAUCAAUUUCUUUUGCUGUAAAAAAGCUUGAGGAAGGUGGCUUGAGAUUCGUCUUAAGUGUUUAUAGCCUCUUGCCUAUGCAGUCGGAGAGAUUGAGGUCUGCAGCGUAGAUCCUUCGGGGCUAAAUGCAUUUGUGCUAAGUUAUAGCAUUUUAUAGACAACUUGUUGACUAUGAUUUGUCUUGUAGCUUACUCGCUUAUGUUAUUUUACCUACGUUAGGAUGUUGAGCGCAUGUCUCUCUCU